rnacentral:rRNA from 1 species
GACGAACGCUGGCGGCGUGCUUAACACAUGCCAGUCGAACGGAAAGGCCCUGCUUUUGUGGGGUGCUCGAGUGGCGAACGGGUGAGUAACACGUGAGUAACCUGCCCUUGACUUUGGGAUAACUUCAGGAAACUGGGGCUAAUACCGGAUAGGAGCUCCUGCUGCAUGGUGGGGGUUGGAAAGUUUCGGCAGUUGGGGAUGGACUCGCGGCUUAUCAGCUUGUUGGUGGGGUAGUGGCUUACCAAGGCUUUGACGGGUAGCCGGCCUGAGAGGGUGACCGGCCACAUUGGGACUGAGAUACGGCCCAGACUCCUACGGGAGGCAGCAGUGGGGAAUAUUGCACAAUGGGCGGAAGCCUGAUGCAGCAACGCCGCGUGCGGGAUGACGGCCUUCGGGUUGUAAACCGCUUUCGCCUGUGACGAAGCGUGAGUGACGGUAAUGGGUAAAGAAGCACCGGCUAACUACGUG